GGGGUUGUGGCUCAGUGGUGGAGCGCUCGCCUAGCAUGCAGGAGGCACUGGGUUCAAUCCUCAGCACCA
rnacentral:tRNA from 1 species